AUUGAACGCUGGCGGAAUGCUUUACACAUGCAAGUCGAACGGCAGCACGGGUGCUUGCACCUGGUGGCGAGUGGCGAACGGGUGAGUAACAUAUCGGAACGUAUCCAAUAAUGGGGGAUAACUAAUCGAAAGGUUGGCUAAUACCGCAUACGCCCUACGGGGGAAAGCUAGGGACCUUCGGGCCUGGCGUUAAUGGAGCGGCCGAUAUCUGAUUAGCUAGUUGGUGGGGUAAUGGCCUACCAAGGCGACGAUCAGUAGCUGGUCUGAGAGGACGACCAGCCACACUGGAACUGAGACACGGUCCAGACUCCUACGGGAGGCAGCAGUGGGGAAUUUUGGACAAUGGGCGCAAGCCUGAUCCAGCCAUUCCGCGUGAGUGAAGAAGGCCUUCGGGUUGUAAAGCUCUUUCGCAAGGGAAGAAAACUUAUCCUCUAACAUAGGAUGAGAUUGACGGUACCUUGAUAAGAAGCACCGGCUAACUACGUGCCAGCCGCCGCUGUAAAAC
rnacentral:rRNA from 1 species